AUUAUCAUAAACCCUACUAUAAACCCUCAUAGCAGCUCGCUUGCUAUUCACAGAGUUCAUUUCACUGUUCUCUCUCUGGCUUAGCUAUCUUGAAAUUCCUUUCCAAUUUCAAGCUUGUCAACCAUGCACAGGCUUUCAAGGCGUUCUGUUUCUUCAAUCCUGCGAGCCGCUGGCUCACCUUACCGGAGGAGCGUAGCCGCGGCCCCUCUCUCUUGCUCUUCUCACUUGGCCGGUUCGGCUGUGGAUGGAGAUAACCGAGUGAGAUGGUACUCGGCAGUAACCUCCGGGAAACUGAUACCAAAUAAAGCUGACCCUUCAGCUCAGUUGAACUUGAAAAACGGCUUGUUUUUGGGUAAUCGAUACGAGUCCACUGCAGCGCAAUCUGAUGCUUCAUCUCCUCCACCACCAGUGGGUGAAAAAUAUGAAUAUCAAGCUGAGGUUAGUCGCCUCAUGGACCUCAUCGUUAAUAGUUUAUACAGCAACAAAGAGGUGUUUCUUCGGGAGCUUAUCAGCAAUGCAAGUGAUGCCUUGGAUAAGCUGCGAUUUCUUGGUGUCACAGAGCCUGAGCUUUUGAAGGAUGCUGUUGAUCUUGAUAUCCGUAUUCAAACUGAUAAGGACAAUGGAAUUGUGACUAUAACUGACUCUGGCAUCGGUAUGACUCGCCAAGAAUUAAUUGACUGUCUAGGAACUAUUGCACAAAGUGGAACUGCAAAAUUUUUGAAGGCAUUGAAGGAUAGCAAAGAUGCUGGUGCUGAUAACAAUUUAAUUGGUCAAUUUGGUGUUGGCUUUUAUUCAUCUUUCCUGGUUUCAGAUAGGGUGGUUGUCUCGACAAAAAGCCCAAAAUCUGAUACACAAUAUGUAUGGGAAGGUGAGGCCAAUGCUAGCUCCUAUACCAUUCGAGAGGAGACAGACCCUGAGAAGCUCAUUCCAAGAGGAACCCGUCUUACAUUGUAUCUUAAGCAUGAUGACAAGGGCUUUGCAAAUCCAGAGCGGAUUCAGAAGCUUGUGAAAAACUACUCACAGUUUGUUUCAUUUCCAAUAUACACCUGGCAGGAAAAAGGAUACACUAAAGAGGUUGAGGUUGAUGAGGAGCCAACUGAAGCCCAAAAAGAUGAACAGGAUGAUAAAACUAAUAAAAAGAAGAAAACAAAAACUGUUGUUGAGCGAUACUGGGACUGGGAACUGACUAAUGAGACCCAACCACUAUGGCUUCGCAACCCAAAGGAAGUGUCUACAGAGGAAUAUAAUGAGUUUUACAAGAAAACAUUUAAU
rnacentral:misc_RNA from 1 species